UACGUAGGGUGCAAGCGUUAAUCGGAAUUACUGGGCGUAAAGCGUGCGCAGGCGGCUAUGCAAGACAGAUGUGAAAUCCCCGGGCUCAACCUGGGAACUGCAUUUGUGACUGAAUGGCUAGAGUACGGUAGAGGGGGAUGGAAUUCCGCGUGUAGCAGUGAAAUGCGUAGAUAUGCGGAGGAACACCGAUGGCGAAGGCAAUCCCCUGGACCUGUACUGACGCUCAUGCACGAAAGCGUGGGGAGCAAACAGG
rnacentral:rRNA from 1 species